rnacentral:tRNA from 2 species
AUUAAGAUGGCAGAGCCGGUAAUUGCAUAAAGCUUAAGCCUUUACUCCCAGAGGUUCAAACCCUCUUCUUAAUA